UACGGGGGGGGCAAGCGUUGUUCGGAAUUACUGGGCGUAAAGGGCGCGUAGGCGGUUUGCUAAGUUGAAUGUGAAAACUCUGGGCUUAACCCAGAGCCUGCAUUCAAUACUGGCAGGCUAGAGUUCUGGAGGGGAUAGCGGAAUUCCUGGUGUAGCGGUGAAAUGCGUAGAUAUCAGGAGGAACACCGGUGGCGAAGGCAAUCCCCUGGGCCUGCACUGACGCUCAUGCACGAAAGCGUGGGGAGCAAACAGG
rnacentral:rRNA from 1 species